rnacentral:tRNA from 1 species
GCGGACGUAGCUCAGUUGGGAGAGCAUCACCUUUCCAAGGUGAAGGUCGCAGGUUCGAAUCCUGCCGUCCGCUCCA